rnacentral:rRNA from 1 species
CAGUCGCCACGGUAAUACGAAGGGUGCAAGCGUUAAUCGGAAUUAUUGGGCGUAAAGCGCGCGUAGGCGGUUUCUUAAGUCUGAUGUGAAAGCCCACGGCUCAACCGUGGAGGGUCAUUGGAAACUGGGAAACUUGAGUGCAGAAGAGGAAAGUGGAAUUCCAUGUGUAGCGGUGAAAUGCGCAGAGAUAUGGAGGAACACCAGUGGCGAAGGCGACUUUCUGGUCUGUAACUGACGCUGAUGUGCGAAAGCGUGGGGAUCAAACAGGAUUAGAUACCCCCGUAGUCCCUGUCUCUUAUAC